rnacentral:misc_RNA from 1 species
CCGGCCCGUUCGCCAACUACGAAAAGAAAACAAACGAGAAGAAACGAUCAGAGCCGAAUUAUAUAGGUCGUGGAUCUAAACUUGUUUGCCUGCUAUAAUUUCUGAAUUCUGAGUCGCUACCAUUGCCAAAUACCCUUCUUCAACCAGAACUGAAAAUUGUGAAGAUGGAAGGAAUGGAGCAGUGGAAAAACGAGGCGAAGCAAUGGUUGCAACAGGGGAUUGAAUAUGCCCAUCAGAUACCUCCCACUCAGCUCUAUGCUGCUGCUACUGUAUUGCUUCUAACCACGCUUUUCCUCUUAAUUGUUCGCUUGUUCAAACGCACAAAAUCUAAUACCAUUGUGCUCACUGGGCUCACUGGGAGUGAUGCUUGUGCCAGCUUCAAGAUGGUUCUUCACAUCAGGGCACUGUUACUUCAAUGGAACCAAAUGACGAAACUUUCAUUCUACAUUCUGAAAGCUCUAAGAAAGGCAAAAUAAAGCCUGUUCACCUUGUUGAUGUUCCUGGGCAUUCUCGUCUUCGACCUAAACUAGAUGAGUUCUUGCCUCAAGCUGCUGGCAUAGUGUUUGUUGUUGAUGCUUUGGAGUUCUUGCCCAACUUGCGUGGAGUUUCAGAAUAUCUGUAUGAUAUUUUGACCAAGGCAAGUGUCGUGAAAAGGAAAGUUCCAGUUCUCAUUUGUUGUAACAAGACUGACAAAGUGACAGCACAUACCAAGGAUUUCAUCCGAAAACAAUUGGAGAAAGAAAUUGAAAAAUUACGAGUAUCAAGAAGUGGAAUAUCAGAAGCUGAUGUUGCAAAUGAGUU